rnacentral:rRNA from 1 species
GACGAACGCUGGCGGCGUGCUUAACACAUGCAAGUCGAACGGAAAGGCCCUGCUUUUGUGGGGUGCUCGAGUGGCGAACGGGUGAGUAACACGUGAGUAACCUGCCCUUGACUUUGGGAUAACUUCAGGAAACUGGGGCUAAUACUGGAUAGGAGCUCCUGCUGCAUGGUGGGGGUUGGAAAGUUUCGGCGGUUGGGGAUGGACUCGCGGCUUAUCAGCUUGUUGGUUGGGUAGUGGCUUACCAAGGCUUUGACGGGUAGCCGGCCUGAGAGGGUGACCGGGGACCUUGGGACUACGAGACGGCCCAGACUCGUACGGGAGGCAGCAGGGGGAAGUAUUACACAAUGGGCGGGAGCCUGUGGCAGAAGCGCCGCGUGUGGAAUGACGGCUUUCGGGUUGUAAACCGCUUUCGCCUGUGACGAAGCGUGAGUGACGGUAAUGAGUAAAGAAGCACCGGCUAACUACGUG